rnacentral:rRNA from 1 species
UACGUAGGUGGCAAGCGUUAUCCGGAAUUAUUGGGCGUAAAGCGCGCGUAGGCGGUUUUUUAAGUCUGAUGUGAAAGCCCACGGCUCAACCGUGGAGGGUCAUUGGAAACUGGAAAACUUGAGUGCAGAAGAGGAAAGUGGAAUUCCAUGUGUAGCGGUGAAAUGCUUAGAUAUUAGGAGGAAUACCAGUGGCGAAGGCGACUUGCUGGAAUCUAACUGACGCUGAGGUACGAAAGCGUGGGGAGCAAACAGG